GCUACAUCCUUAUUGGACUGAAAUCCAUGCAUUGAUCCGAGAAGCCACACAAAGCUCUCCCCUAUCCACCCCACACGUAUGCAUACUGCUGGAUCUCCCUAGAGAAAUGCCCCAACACGCUAGAAAGUUGACCUUACACAUAGCCUUGACGGCGCAGCAAUUGAUAGCAAGGAGAUGGAAGUCCACGAUCCUUCCCAAGAAGGAAAACCUCUUAGAGGAAUUGCAUAAGCAGUG